rnacentral:rRNA from 1 species
GCUACUUUGCCGGCGAGCGGCGGACGGGUGAGUAAUGUCUGGGGAUCUGCCCGAUGGAGGGGGAUANCCACUGGAAACGGUGGCUAAUACCGCAUAACGUCGCAAGACCAAAGUGGGGGACCUUCGGGCCUCACACCAUCGGAUGAACCCAGAUGGGAUUAGCUAGUAGGUGGGGUAAUGGCUCACCUAGGCGACGAUCCCUAGCUGGUCUGAGAGGAUGACCAGCCACACUGGAACUGAGACACGGUCCAGACUCCUACGGGAGGCAGCAGUGGGGAAUAUUGCACAAUGGGCGCAAGCCUGAUGCAGCCAUGCCGCGUGUGUGAAGAAGGCCUUCGGGUUGUAAAGCACUUUCAGCGAGGAGGAAGGUGGUGAGCUUAAUACGCUCAUCAAUUGACGUUACUCGCAGAAGAAGCACCGGCUAACUCCGUGCCAGCAGCCGCGGUAAUACGGAGGGUGCAAGCGUUAAUCGGAAUUACUGGGCGUAAAGCGCACGCAGGCGGUUUGUUAAGUCAGAUGUGAAAUCCCCGAGCUUAACUUGGGAACUGCAUUUGAAACUGGCAGGCUAGAGUCUCGUAGAGGGGGGUAGAAUUCCAGGUGUAGCGGUGAAAUGCGUAGAGAUCUGGAGGAAUACCGGUGGCGAAGGCGGCCCCCUGGACGAAGACUGACGCUCAGGUGCGAAAGCGUGGGGAGCAAACAGGAUUAGAUACCCUGGUAGUCCACGCCGUAAACGAUGUCGAUUUGGAGGCUGUGCCCUUGAGGCGUGGCUUCCGGAGCUAACGUGUUAAAUCGACCGCCUGGGGAGUACGGCCGCAAGGUUAAAACUCAAAUGAAUUGACGGGGGCCCGCACAAGCGGUGGAGCAUGUGGUUUAAUUCGAUGCAACGCGAAGAACCUUACCUACUCUUGACAUCCAGAGA